GGAUGGGUGGCCGAGUGGUUGAAGGCAGCGGUCUUGAAAACCGCCAGGCGGGCAACCGUCUCGUGGGUUCGAAUCCCACCCCAUCCGCCA
rnacentral:tRNA from 1 species